rnacentral:rRNA from 1 species
UGUUUACCAAAAACAUGGCUUCGUGUAAAAAUCAAAUACGAAGUCGGACCUGCCCAGUGAAGUUUUAAACGGCCGCGGUACUCUGACCGUGCAAAGGUAGCAUAAUCAUUUGCCUUAUAAUUGAAGGCUGGAAUGAAUGGUUUGACAAGAAUACGGCUGUCUCUUUUAGAUUGUUUAGAAUUUUAUUUUUGGAUGAAAAAGUCCAGAUAUUAUUAAAAGACAAGAAGACCCUAUCGAGCUUUAGAGAAAUUAAUAGAUUUAAUAUGAAUUAAUACAAGUAAAAGACAUAGCUAUUAAACACUUUGGUUGGGGCAACCGAGGAGUAAAUGAAGCCUCCUUUAAUUUUGUAGGCCUUACUUGUAUUGAUCCAAGAAUUUUGAUUAAAGAAAUUAGUUACCGUAGGGAUAACAGCAUUAUCUUUUUUGAGAGCUCAUAUCGAAAAAAAGGUUUGUGACCUCGAUGUUGGACCAGAAUGUCCUAAAGAUGCAGAAGUCUUUAAGGGUUGGUCUGUUCGACCAUUAAAAUUCUACGUGAUCUGAGUUCAGACCGGA